rnacentral:rRNA from 1 species
GACGAACGCUGGCGGCGUGCUUAACACAUGCAAGUCGAACGGAAAGGCCCCUUUGGGGGUACUCGAGUGGCGAACGGGUGAGUAACACGUGAGUAACCUGCCCUUGACUUCGGGAUAACUUCAGGCAACUGGGGCUAAUACCGGCUAGGAAUCCUUGCUGCAUGGAGGGGGUUGGAAAGCUUCGGCGGUUUGGGAUGGACUCGCGGCCUAUCAGCUUGGUGGUGGGGUAGUGGGUUACCAAGGCUUUGGCGGGUAGGCGGCCUGAGAGGGCGACCGGCCACAUUGGGGAUUGAGAACGGCCCAGACUCCUACGGGGGGGAACAGGUGGGAAAUUUGCAAAAUGGGGGGGAGCCUGAUGCAGCAACCCCGGGGGGGGGGAGAAGGCCUUCGGGUUGUAAACCCGUUUCAGCAGGUGAGAAAGUGGGGGUGACGGUACCGGCAAAAGAAGCACCGGCUAACUACGUG